rnacentral:rRNA from 1 species
GAACCUGCGGAAGGAUCAUUAUCGUGACAAACACGUGGGGGUGCCCAAAGGCUGUCGCUGACCUGAAAUGGUCGUGCACGCCGGAGGACGUCCUCUCGUGUUAAAUCCAUCUCACCCUUUGUGCACCACCGCGUGGGCGCCCCUUCUCCUGAUCGAGAGCGGUCGCUUGCGUUUUCACACAAAACCCCUCUGUAAAUGUGUAGAAUGAUUGUCUCUGCGCUACCACGCGCGAUGUAAUACAACUUUCAACAACGGAUCUCUUGGCUCUCGCAUCGAUGAAGAACGCAGCGAAAUGCGAUACGUAAUGUGAAUUGCAGAAUUCAGUGAAUCAUCGAAUCUUUGAACGCACCUUGCGCCCCUUGGUAUUCCGAGGGGCACACCCGUUUGAGUGUCGUGAACACCUCAACCUCCUCCAUUUCUGAAGGAGGCUUGGACUUUGGAGGCCUCUGCUGGACCGAAAGGGCCAGCUCCUCUCAAAUGAAUUAGCGGGGUCCCCUUUGCCGAUCCUCGACGUGUGAUAAGACGCUUCCACGCCUUGGUCUUUUUCGGCUCUGGGUUUGGGACCCGCUUCCAGUGGUCUCUCCGAGAGACAACGAUCGAGCUUGCCUCGACCACGCACACCCUUGACCUCAAAUCGGGUGAGACUACCCGCUGAACUUAA